CCUGAGCAGAGGUAAGGGAAGAUCUUACGACCUUCUCCGAAGUCCUAAAAGCGUCCUUCGUAGUCCGCCCGCUUCCUGGCAGCCUCACCCUACUGGCUUCCAGGAGAGCUUUGCAGCGGUGUAGGGAAAACCUUGUUGCAAAGUCCAAGCCCAGGCGAGUGGGCGAGACGCGCGGAGGGGCAUGGGUGAGUGGGCACCUUCGCAGCACCCUCUACACAGCAUUUCUUCCCCCACUGCUCAGAGGACUGGAAAUUUAGACAAAUGCCGCGCAGCCCGUUUCGGAACAGAGGUGGUCGAACGUCUGUCCGUUAAAAUCUGGAUCAUUAGAACCCAAACAAUGUACUCGUGUGGGAACGCAAAAGCAUUUCCCACGGCGUGGAUAUGCAGCGGCAGAGGUGCAGGCCUGAAGUGCUGCCAUCCCCCGGAACUCCCACCCGCUCCCUGGAGACACGGGGGAGUUCGCCUCGAGCUGACCCCGCGGCAGAACGGAGGCGGCUCCCAGAAAUGCACUAAUUGAGUCACAAACCACUGGCUGCCCCUAACAAAGCGAUCUAUCUCGGCAGCUCAGCUCCCAAUUUGUCCGCAGCACUUUCUUCCGCAAUUCAGAAGCAUUAUCUUGUUUUAAAAAGUAUCGCGGCAGAGACGUGGCAAUUAUCCUGGGCUCGGGUUACACUAAAUGGCUUAGGCUGAGAAAUGGAAGAAUACAAAUGCCGCGAACGUGCUGAUCUCGCUGCCGAUCCUGGACCGGGGGUAGAGGAGGCAAGCGAGAGCUUUCGUCCGGGAGAGGGAGUGGGAGUGCAUUUUUGAGUCGCUUUGGGUCUUCUCUCCAGGACUAUGGGGCAAUGGAGUGGACAUUUUUGCAGAAUCUGCAGAGGAGUAAUAAACCAAAUUUUAAUUGAAGCAGUGA